CCCUUAGAUGUUCGGGGCCGCACGCGCGCUACACUGAAGGAAUCAGCACGUCUUUCUCCUUGUCCGGAAGGACUGGGUAACCCGCUGAACCUCCUUCGUGCUAGGGAUUGGGGCUUGUAAUUCUUCCCCAUGAACGAGGAAUUCCCAGUAAGCGCGAGUCAUAAGCUCGCGUUGAUUACGUCCCUGCCCUUUGUACACACCGCCCGUCGCUACUACCGAUUGGAUGGUUUAGUGAGAUCCUCGGAUUGGUCCCGGCGCGGCCUCUGGUCGUGCCGGAGUGCCGAAAAGAAUGUCGAACUUGAUCAUCUAGAGGAAGUAAAAGUCGUAACA
rnacentral:rRNA from 1 species